UCGCCACUCCAGAAAAAAAUCCCUCCAUGCGGGCCUUAAGAAAAAUCUGUAAAGUCGAAUUAGCUGAAAACAUUCGAGGUUCACUGAGAAUUGAAGUUUUUGUAGCCAAUAGUUCGGGGGUCCAAGUUUUCACACAAAAGUCACCUGAGAGAAUGCCGAGAUUGAACUCCGCCUCUCAGGAGCUUCAGAGGGAAACGAAGAGUUUUGGGAAUGCCCAUGACUCCAAGAGCUGACGAAAAAUGCAGUCUCCACAACGCCCUCCCCAUCGGGGGAGAGUAUUGAUGGUCAUAGGAUCUAAAUUGGAGAAGUGGAGUUGGAGUAAAACAAAUACCAGCAGAAAAAAAAUUGAUGAAGAAGGCGCAGUUCAAGCAGGAGAGACCUAUGAACAAAAUCAAGGGUCAGACCAAAAAGAAACUAACACUAGAAAUUAAUAGAAAAAUCUGUACUUUAUUUUGUAAAUAAAAUCAUUUCGUAUCAA